AGUGAACGCUGGCGGUAGGCCUAACACAUGCAAGUCGAACGGCAGCACAGUAAGAGCUUGCUCUUACGGGUGGCGAGUGGCGGACGGGUGAGGAAUACAUCGGAAUCUACUUUUUCGUGGGGGAUAACGUAGGGAAACUUACGCUAAUACCGCAUACGACCUACGGGUGAAAGCAGGGGAUCUUCGGACCUUGCGCGAUUGAAUGAGCCGAUGUCGGAUUAGCUAGUUGGCGGGGUAAAGGCCCACCAAGGCGACGAUCCGUAGCUGGUCUGAGAGGAUGAUCAGCUACACUGGAACUGAGACACGGUCCAGACUCCUACGGGAGGCAGCAGUGGGGAAUAUUGGGCAAUGGGCGCAAGCCUGAUCCAGCCAUACCGCGUGGGUGAAGAAGGCCUUCGGGUUGUAAAGCCCUUUUGUUGGGAAAGAAAAGCAGCAGGUUAAUACCCCGCUGUUCUGACGGUACCCAAAGAAUAAGCACCGGCUAACUUCGUG
rnacentral:rRNA from 1 species